AGGUAUAGAAAGCUCUUGGAGGAAGCUGUGCAAUAGAAGCAAAUCUAAUUUUUCAAGCAAACACAUCGGUCUCCUGUGUGGUAUAGCUGUGGGUCUUAUACACAGUUUUCUCUUCCUCUUUAACCUGGAGAGCCCUCCAAAAGAGAAUAGGGAAGGCUGUUUUCAUCUAGCCUGGAAAAUACACAGGUCCCAAGGCGAUUGACUUUGUAAGCUCACUGGCAAUGAAGAGUGUAGAAAAUGUUGAUGUACCUGUUCCUGUGAAUUUGAAGGACCUGUAAGCUGUGCACAGACUUCCUCUGUGGAGUUCAGUCUGCUCUCCACAAUAUGUUCUGGUGGAGCAGGGAGAGAAGCAAGGAAGGGACCCCAAGGAUUGGCAGCAAUACAAUUGUCAGCCUGGCUUAGAGUGGGUCCUGUGACUAUGGCUUCUGCCAGAUGCUUUUAAAGAAGAUAGAAGCUGUGCACAACAAGCAAAUGGUAAAGAAGGCAGAGCCGGAGCAGUUCCUCCUGCAGUGCUUUUGUCACAUGGCCCCAUCUCUGACCUCACUGCUGUUGUGUCACCUGAGACUCCUCUCUGUAAACCUGUACCAGAGCCUCUGUGCUGCAGAGCAAAAUGGACUAUGAAUUGACUCUGAGGGUACAGCAAAAUAUGGUGUAGGUGCAUCUUCAUGACCAGGAGGUGGAUAACAACAACCAUCUCAGAAAAACACAAGUCCAAGGAUUUCCAACACGCUUAUUUGGUUACAAAUGAGCCCCUGGCCAAGCUGCUCUUCUUUCUUAAGAACAAGCAAGCUAGGACAUCUUACUAUGACAUGAGAAAAAUGUCAGAUAGAAGAAAUCCUGGGGAGAAUGUUAAAAUGAAUGGCUUACCUGACAGAGAGGAAGGAAAUUUGAGCCUGCACAGUUCAGGUGCCUGAAAUCAUACACCACUCUCAUAAUAUGAGGUUCCCAUGUGAAGCAAUACAGAAUAUUCCUG
rnacentral:lncRNA from 7 species